rnacentral:rRNA from 1 species
CUCCGGUGAUCCCUGCCGGACCCGACUGCUAUCGGAUUGAGAUUUAGCCAUGCGAGUCGAACGUCCCCCUGUUGCGGGGGGCGUGGCGUACGGCUCAGUAACACGUAGUCAACCUGCCCUGGAGACAAGGACAACCCCGGGAAACUGGGAUUAAUCCUUGAUAGGUCAUCUCAUCUGGAAGGAGAGAUGGCUUAAAGGGGUACGCGGGCUUCUUCCGCGAAUUCGCUCCAGGAUGGGACUGCGUCCGAUCAGGCUGUUGGCGGGGUAAUGGCCCACCAAACCUGUAACCGGUACGGGCCUUGAGAGAGGUGGCCCGGAGAUGGACACUGAGAGAAGGGUCCAGGUCCUACGGGGCGCAGCAGGCGCGAAACCUUCGCAAUGCGCGAAAGCGUGACGAGGUUAAUCCGAGUGACUCCCGCUGAGGGGGUCUUUUGUCAGCUGUAAAUAGGCAGGCGAAUAAGGGGAGGGCAAGCCUGGUGUCAGCCGCCGCGGUAAUACCAGCUCCUCGAGUGGUCGGGGCGAUUAUUGGGCCUAAAGCAUCCGUAGCCGGUUCCGUAGGUCCUCUGUUAAAUCCAACCGCUCAACGGUUGACCUGCAGAGGAUACCGCGGGACUAGGAGGCGGGAGAGGCGGACGGUACUCCGCGUGUAGGGGUAAAAUCCUUUGAUCCGCGGAAGACCACCAGUGGCGAAGGCGGUCCGCCAGAACGCGCUCGACGGUGAGGGAUGAAAGCUGGGGGAGCGAACCGGAUUAGAUACCCGGGUAGUCCCAGCCGUAAACGAUGCUAGCUAGAUGAUUCAUUCGCAAGUCGCGAAUGAAGUGUCGCAGGGAAGCCGUUAAGCUAGCCGCCUGGGGAGUACGGUCGCAAGACUGAAACUUAAAGGAAUUGGCGGGGGAGCA